AGAGUUUGAUCCUGGCUCAGGAUGAACGCUGGCGGUAUGCUUUACACAAGCAAGUCGAACGAAAGUUUUUAACUUUAGUGGCGAACGGGUGCGUAAUACGUGAGAAUCUGCCCUUAGGAGGAGGAUAACUGCUGGAAACGGCUGCUAACACUCCAUAUGUCGAGAGAUGAAAAAUUUAUUGCCUAAGGAUGAGCUCGCGCCUGAUUAGCUAGUUGGUGAGGUAAUGGCUCACCAAGGCCACGAUCAGUAGCUGGUUUGAGAGAACGAUCAGCCACACUGGGUCUGAGACACGGCCCAGACUCCUCCGGGAGGCAGCAGUGUGGAAUUUUCCGCAAUGGGCGAAAGCCUGACGGAGCAAUACCGCGUGAGGGAUGAAGGAUUUUGGUCUGUAAACCUCUUUUCUCAAGAAAGAAGUUCUGACGGUACUUGAGGAAUAAGCAUCGGCUAACUCCGUGCCAGCAGCCGCGGUAAUACGGGGGAUGCAAGCGUUAUCCGGAAUCAUUGGGCGUAAAGCGCCUGUAGGUUGUUUAAUAAGUCUGUUGUUACAGACUAGGGCUCAACCCUAGAAAAGCAAUGGAAACUACUAGACUAGAGUAUGGCAGGGGUAGAGGGAAUUUCUAGUGUAGCGGUGAAAUGCGUAGAUUUUAGAAAGAACACCGGUGGCGAAAGCGCUCUACUGGACCAUUACUGACACUCAGAGGCGAAAGCUA
rnacentral:rRNA from 1 species